rnacentral:rRNA from 1 species
CCCCUAGAUGUUCUGGGCCGCACGCGCGCUACACUGAACAGUUCAACAAGUCUUAACCUUGGCCGAUAGGUCUGGGUAAUCUUUGAACGCUGUUCGUGAAUGGGAUAGACCUUUGCAAUUAUGGGUCUUCAACGAGGAAUUCCUAGUAAACGCAAGUCAUCAGCUUGCAUUGAUUACGUCCCUGCCCUUUGUACACACCGCCCGUCGCACCUACCGAUUGAAUGGUCCGGUGAAAUCUCGGGACGGCGGCUUGGUCGCUUGCGUCCGACUGCUGAAACUUGAUUAAACCAUAUCAUUUAGAGGAAGGUGAAGUCGUAACA